rnacentral:rRNA from 1 species
AUUGAACGCUGGCGGCAUGCCUUACACAUGCAAGUCGAACGGCAGCACGGGAGCAAUCCUGGUGGCGAGUGGCGAACGGGUGAGUAAUAUAUCGGAACGUGCCCAGUCGUGGGGGAUAACGCAGCGAAAGCUGUGCUAAUACCGCAUACGAUCUAUGGAUGAAAGCGGGGGAUCGCAAGACCUCGCGCGAUUGGAGCGGCCGAUAUCAGAUUAGCUAGUUGGUGAGGUAAAGGCUCACCAAGGCGACGAUCUGUAGCUGGUCUGAGAGGACGAGCAGCCACACUGGAACUGAGACACGGUCCAGACUCCUACGGGAGGCAGCAGUGGGGAAUUUUGGACAAUGGGCGAAAGCCUGAGCCAGCAAUGCCGCGUGCAGGAUGAAGGCCUUCGGGUUGUAAACGGCUUUUGUACGGAACGAAACGGUGAGCUCUAAUACAGUUUGCUAAUGACGGUACCGUAAGAAUAAGCACCGGCUAACUACGUGCCAGCAGCCGCAGUAA